GAGUUUGAUCCUGGCUCAGGAUGAACGCUGGCGGCGUGCCUAAUACAUGCAAGUCGAACGAACAGAUAAGGAGCUUGCUCCUUUGACGUUAGCGGCGGACGGGUGAGUAACACGUGGGUAACCUACCUAUAAGACUGGGAAUAACUCCGGGAAACCGGGGCUAAUGCCGGAUAACAUGUUGAACCGCAUGGUUCUACAGUGAAAGACGGUCUUGCUGUCACUUAUAGAUGGACCCGCGCCGUAUUAGCUAGUUGGUGGGGUAACGGCCUACCAAGGCGACGAUACGUAGCCGACCUGAGAGGGUGAUCGGCCACACUGGAACUGAGACACGGUCCAGACUCCUACGGGAGGCAGCAGUAGGGAAUCUUCCGCAAUGGGCGAAAGCCUAGACGGAGCAACGCCGCGUGAGUGAUGAAGGUCUUGGAUCGUAAAGCUCUGUUGUUAGGGAAGAACAAAUGUAGUAAGUAACUGUGC
rnacentral:rRNA from 1 species